rnacentral:misc_RNA from 1 species
GUAUAAGUUUAAAGGUGUAUAACACCCAUUAACAUUCUAUUACAUUCUGAUAGAGUAUGUGUAAAAUAACAUAGAACAAGAUAAAUAUUUAAAGGAAAAGCUGCUUUGUAACAACAGCAAUCCCAAAAGAAACCGAGUUUGACCUCGAGAGUAAUAAGUAUCUCGUUCUACAAGAGGUGCACAGGUGAUAAAAUUGAUUAAUGGCAGGUGUGCACAAUGCUCCAGAGAACCAGCAACAACCAUACCAGAAUUAAUUCAAUAAUGAUCCUUCCGCAGGUUCACCUACGGAAA